CCUACGGGAGGCAGCAGUGGGGAAUUUUGGACAAUGGGCGAAAGCCUGAUCCAGCAAUGCCGCGUGAGUGAAGAAGGCCUUCGGGUUGUAAAGCUCUUUUGUCAGGGAAGAAACGGUGAGAGCUAAUAUCUCUUGCUAAUGACGGUACCUGAAGAAUAAGCACCGGCUAACUACGUGCCAGCAGCCGCGGUAAUACGUAGGGUGCAAGCGUUAAUCGGAAUUACUGGGCGUAAAGCGUGCGCAGGCGGUUUUGUAAGUCUGAUGUGAAAUCCCCGGGCUCAACCUGGGAAUUGCAUUGGAGACUGCAAGGCUAGAAUCUGGCAGAGGGGGGUAGAAUUCCACGUGUAGCAGUGAAAUGCGUAGAUAUGUGGAGGAACACUGAUGGCGAAGGCAGCCCCCUGGGUCAAGAUUGACGCUCAUGCACGAAAGCGUGGGGAGCAAACAGGAUUAGAUACCCUGGUAGUCCACGCCCUAAACGAUGUCUACUAGUUGUCGGGUCUUAAUUGUAUGUACGCGAGCGUACGCGNGAGAGUAACCGCCGUGGGUUAGGUUACGGUCGCGAGAAGUUAAACGUUAAAGUUAGUAGUUAGACGGCGUUGAGACGUUGCCGACGGACGACGACGAGGGAGGAGG
rnacentral:rRNA from 1 species